UACAGAGGUCUCAAGCGUUGUUCGGAUUCAUUGGGCGGAAAGGGUGCGUAGGCGGCGCGGUAAGUCGGGUGUGAAAUCUUGGAGCUUAACUCCGAAACUGCAUUCGAUACUGCCGUGCUUGAGGACUGGAAAGGAGACUGGAAUUUACGGUGUAGCGGUGAAAUGCGUAGAUAUCGUAAGGAAGACCAGUGGCGAAGGCGGGUCUCUGGACAGUUCCUGACGCUGAGGCACGAAGGUCAGGGGAGCAAACGGG
rnacentral:rRNA from 1 species